GUUAUACUAUUAUAUUUUGUAGUUGACAAAUUAUUGUAAUGCCGUCCCAAAAUCCUAUAUCCAAUAAUUUCGUCGUCAUUUUGUUGGCAGGUAAGCUAUUAUCUUUUUAGAACAGAUCAUGUCAUUUUUGUGGGUUUGAUUUUUCGAAACCGAUGAAUAAAUAAUAUGUAGGUAUAAUUGCCGGAGAUAUUUUAUCAUGAAAAUCAACUACCAACUAAGAGUACCAAUUAAAAAACUUGCCGAUGAAACUUCAUAUGCCAUGAUCAAAUCGAAAUACUAUUGAAACGGUUAAACAAAAAUACCGAACUCCAACGUAGAUUCAAAAAGGGAUAUAUAUAUAAGACAUAUAAGUCCAUAAAUUUGUCAAACUCAAACGUUAGACUAAUCAACUAACGGUACCAACGGCAUGGCAGUCACAAAUAAAUGACUGCGAUUUAAUAAAAUACAUUUGCAUAUUUUUUACCAAAUUAAUCCUUGAGACAACCAAUUAGAUCCAUUCAAAUGAAAACGUCAUCAGUAUAUUUUAAAGUUUAUGUCCUGCAGCAGUGGAAAAUUGAUUAAGGUAAUUGAUAAUAACUGAUAAAGUGGCAUCGUACCUUACACAGUUAACACAUUUGUUCGUAAAUAAUUUAAGACAGACCACAUUGAACAUGUUAAAGGACUUUUCAUUAUAUAUUCAUUUGUCGAUAGUAUUAUAUUGAAUAGAAUUGACAGAAAAGAGUUACCACAUCUCGCUGUGAACUUCUUUAUGUCAUUGAUCUCUUUGUGUCUUUUCGUUUUCAAAACAGCUAUUACAUAUAUUUGACAAAUUCAAAACGUCAAAAGUUUACCGAAUAGGUGCUGCGUAUAUAACUACCAAGCAAAAUCGACAUCAUUGUGACUGAUACAUUUUUAUUUUUUAUAAUCAAUUGUUUGCCCCACAAACAACAAAUCUAGAUCAUUUAUGAACAGGCGUAGAUCACAGAAAAAUACUGGGCCUACUUAAUACUUUUGUAUGUAGUAGUUGCGAUCAUCAUCCAAUUUUAUAUUUUCUUUAUUUGCUGAGACAAUUUGUCAGCAUUUAGAUUAAAGAUGAUUUAUUAACCAGAAUACAGAAUAGACAAUUAUCAUGCUAUUACCUCCGGUACAAAUAAUCCCUCAGCUGUAUUUGGCACAACCUUUCAGAAUUUGGGUACCUUAUGCCCUUCAACUUCGUUCCUACUUUGACCUUUUAAUAAAAUCAACGGUACCAAUUUUGUUGCACCAGAUGCGCAUUUCGACAAUACAUGUCUCUUCAGUGAUGCUCGUGGCCAAAAUAUUUGAAAUCCAAAGCUUAUAUAAAAGAUGAAGAGCUAUAAUCCAAAAGGUCAAAAAAGUAUAGCCAAAUCCGUGAAAGGAAUCAGAGCUUUGCAUGAGGGAGAUACAUUCCUUUAUUUAUAAUAAUUUCUAAUAUUUUGUAACAGCAUAUUUUAAUAACACAAAA
rnacentral:lncRNA from 1 species